rnacentral:rRNA from 1 species
AGCGAACGCUGGCGGCAUGCUUAACACAUGCAAGUCGCACGGAUCUUCCGGGAUCAGUGGCGGUCGGGUGAGUAACGCGUAGGGAUCUAUCCAUGGGUGGCGGACAAUUCCGGGUAACUGGAGCUAAUACCGCAUGAUAUCUGAGGGUCAAAGGCGCGAGUCGCCUGUGGAGGAACCUGCGUUUGAUUAGCUGGUUGGUGGGGUAAAGGCCUACCAAGGUGAUGAUUGAUAGCUGGUAUGAGAGGAUGAUCAACCACGCUGGGACUGAGACACGGCCCAGAAUCCGACGGAAGGGAGGAGUGGGUAAUAUUGGACAAUGGGGGAAGGCCUGAUCCAGCAAUGCCGGGUAUGAGAAGAAGGUGGUCGGAUAGUGAAGCACUUUCGGAGGGGACGAUGAUGACGGUACCCGUAGAAGAAGCACCGGCUAACUUCGUG